GACGGAGGGCGCAAGCGUUAUCCGGAAUACUGGCGUAAAGCGCACGCAGGCGGUCUUGUAAGUUUGACGUGAAAGCUCCCGGCUUAACUGGGAGAGGUCGUUGAAGACUGUCAAGACUUGAGGAAAUGAGAGGGGUGUAGAAUUCCCGGUGUAGUGGUCGGAAUGCGUAGAUAUCGGGGGGAAUGACCAGUGGCGAAAGCGGCACCCUAGCCAUUUUUCUGACUGCUCAGUGUGCGAAAGCG
rnacentral:rRNA from 1 species